rnacentral:rRNA from 1 species
GAUGAACGCUGGCGGCGUGCCUAAUACAUGCAAGUCGAGCGAACAGAUGAGGAGCUUGCUCCUCUGACGUUAGCGGCGGACGGGUGAGUAACACGUGGAUAACCUACCUAUAAGACUGGGAUAACUUCGGGAAACCGGAGCUAAUACCGGAUAAUAUAUUGAACCGCAUGGUUCAAUAGUGAAAGACGGUUUUGCUGUCACUUAUAGAUGGAUCCGCGCUGCAUUAGCUAGUUGGUAAGGUAACGGCUUACCAAGGCAACGAUGCCUAGCCGACCUGAGAGGGUGGUCGGCCACCCUGGAACUGAAACACGGUCCAGACUCCUACGGGAGGCAGCAGUAGGGAAUCUUCCGCAAUGGGCGGAAGCCUGACGGAGCAACGCCGCGUGAGUGAUGAAGGUCUUCGGAUCGUAAAACUCUGUUAAUAGGGAAGAAAAAAUGUGUAAGUAACUAUGCACGACUUGACGGUACCUAAUCAGAAAGCCACGGCUAACUACGUG